CAGUAGCGUAUAUUAAUGUUGUUGCAGUUAAAAAGCUCGUAGUUGGAUUUCUAGUCGACUUGCGUGGUCCGCCCCUUAGGGAGUGAGUACCGCUGCGAGUCGCCUAUCCUAUCUGUUUGUUUGGGCUCCGGUCCAGGCUGACAGGUUCUUUUACUUUGAAAAAUUAGAGUGUUUAAAGCAGGCUUGCGCAAUGAAUACAUUAGCAUGGAAUAAUAACAUAGGACUUCGGUCUCUAUUUUGUUGGUUUCUAGAACUGAAGUAAUGAUUGAUAGGGAUAGUUGGGGGUGCUAGUAUUGAGCGGCCAGAGGUGAAAUUCUCGGAUUCGCUCAAGACUAACUUAUGCGAAAGCAUUCACCAAGGAUGUCUUCUUUAAUCAAGAACGAAAGUUGGGGGAUCGAAGAUGAUCAGAUACCGU
rnacentral:rRNA from 1 species